rnacentral:rRNA from 1 species
AGUGAACGCUGGCGGUAGGCCUAACACAUGCAAGUCGAACGGCAGCACAGUAAGAGCUUGCUCUUACGGGUGGCGAGUGGCGGACGGGUGAGGAAUACAUCCGAAUCUACUUUUUCGUGGGGGAUAACGUAGGGAAACUUACGCUAAUACCGCAUACGACCUACGGGUGAAAGCAGGGGAUCUUCGGACCUUGCGCGAUUGAAUGAGCCGAUGUCGGAUUAGCUAGUUGGCGGGGUAGAGGCCCACCAAGGCGACGAUCCGUAGCUGGUCUGAGAGGAUGAUCAGCCACACUGGAACUGAGACACGGUCCAGACUCCUACGGGAGGCAGCAGUGGGGAAUAUUGGACAAUGGGCGCAAGCCUGAUCCAGCCAUACCGCGUGGGUGAAGAAGGCCUUCGGGUUGUAAAGCCCUUUUGUUGGGAAAGAAAAGCAGCAGGUUAAUACCCCGCUGUUCUGACGGUACCCAAAGAAUAAGCACCGGCUAACUUCGUG